rnacentral:rRNA from 1 species
CCUCGGCUAAUAUGAAAAUAGAUGUAUAGAGGGUGAUGCCUGCCCAAUGGUUGUAUCUAAAAGCGGUUGAUAAAAGUCGACCUCGUAAGGACAAUUGAAUGGCCGCGGUAACACUGACCGUGAUAAUGUAGCGUAAUCAAUAGCCAAUUAAUUGUUGGCCAGUAUGAAUGGCGCCACGAAGGCCCCACUGUCUUAAGGAAAUUCCCAGUGAAAUUGAAUUCGUAGUGAAGAUGCUACGUCCAAUUUGUUAGACGAAAAGACCCCGUUGAGCUUUACUGGAGCACUUACAUGGCCCCGGCCUUCCCAUGCCUGGGAAUCGGCCGAAUUUAAAUGGGCGGCUUAGAUUAUGUGGCAGCCCCCCGCUGGGGCAAAUGAAACACCACUCCCCCAUGUCAAAGGGGCUAACCCCCCCCCUUGGGGGGACAGUGUAAGUAGGACAGUUUGGUUGGGGCGACCGCCUUUUAAAAAGUAACGAAGGUGCGCUUAAGGUGCGCAAUUAAUGACUGAAGCCUGACUGCGAGGGGGACACCCCGAGCAGACACCCCAAAGCCCGCCCGAAAGGCGGCGGUGGGGUGGGCCAUAGUGACCCGUUAAUUUAGAGUGGAAUAGUUAACGAUCAACGAAUAAAAGUUACCACGGGGAUAACAGCGUAAUAUCGUUAGAGAGUUCACAUCGACGACGAUGUUUGCGACCUCGAUGUUGAAUUGCGGCAUCCUGGGGUGCAGCCGCUCCCAAGGGUU